CUCCUGAGUAGCUGGGACUACAGGUGCGUGCCACCAUGCUGAUAAUUUUUUGUAUUUUAGUAGAGACAGGGUUUCACCAUGUUGGCCAGGAUGGUCUCGAUCUCCUGACCUUGUGAUCCACCUGUGUCAGCCUCCCAAAGUUCUAGUAUUACUGAGACACUGUGUCCAGCCGGCAUCUUUUAUUUGAUUGCCUUUCCUGGUUUACCUUGCAACAAGGCAAGAGAAGGCAUACUCAGAGAUUUGGUGUUCACAUCCCUUCCACUCUCAAGCUCUCAUAACAUGAUGUCUCUGAAGCAGUCUGACUGAGCAAAAAUUGGAUGGAUGAGUUUGGAGAUGUGAGAUCUUGUUAAUUCUUUUUCAUUAACUCAACUAAUCAUUUUGAGAAAAUAUUUAAUUUAUCUGCUUAUCUUCAAACAGCCUGGUGGAACUCAAUCAGAUUUUCUUAAUGUUCCUUGGUUGAUGAAUACAUUUUCAAAAAUAAAAUUUAAGAAAUAAAAUGUAAGAUGAUAAAAGCAAAGCCCUAAGUUAAUAACAGAUACUGGUGGAGUGAGAGGUCUGCUAAAGUUCCAGACACUGAGACCCACCCUCUCCUGCUUGUGUUCUCUGAGGCACUUCCACAGAAUGACAAGUUCUCCAUAAAGAGUCAUUGGGAAGCUCCUAGACAAAACAAUGUCUCACGUCUAUGCUAGGUCUAAAGUCACUUGAAUUUUUGUUUCUCUUAAAUUAUGUACUAGAGCCCAAUUCAUUAAAAAUAAAAUAAAAAUUAUCAGUAUUAUUUAUUUUCAUUUCAGCCACCAACACAGCACAAUGAAACACAUUGCUGGCUGGGUUUCAGCCAUGGCUAUGCCAUUCAAAAAUUGCUGGGACUUUGGUUAAGUCACUUAUGCUUUGUGUUUUCAUCUGUAAAAUGAGUAUCUCAGGUUAGAAUACCUCUAAGAUCGCUUACAGAUUCCUCAUUCCAGAAUCCAACCUUUUCUAAGCAAUCCUUCCCCAUCUAUUAGCAGUUCAUUUAGAAAUCCUUUUAUGAAAGGACAAUUUUUCAGUAUAGAUUACAUUGUAAUGAUUAGGUGGGAAGUGUGUGCCCUAAUAGCCGGAAUGAAGUUAAGUGUAUUUUUGUAAAUAUGCAAACUCCUCAUUUGUCUUUAUGAGGUCCCAUUUGUCUUUUGGCAUUUUGAUGAGUAAACCAAUGCCAAACCAAUUUAGAGCAAGUAAAAUAUGUUAUCAUGAGAUAUUUGUUUUGUCAAUUGUACUCACAAAGUCCCUCUCUCUCUCUCUCUCUCUCUUCCUCUCUUUCUUUUAGUCUGUUCUUUCUGAAUAAUUACCAGACAGCUGCAAGUCAGGGAUAACAGAGAUUCCACAUCCAAUAACAUGACAAGACAAUUCCUGGAACUGGCACUGAUGAAGAAGAUGGCAGCAAAUGGAAGAUUGGAACCAAAGAGGAGCCUUGAGAAGUCAGAAGUUCUGUUCCAGUGAGUUGAAUCAAGACUCAGUUUAGAACUGAGAAGAAAGAGCUCUUCUCUUGUUAUGCUCUUGGGAUGCCCAAUGGUUCAACUACUAAUAACAACUGGCCUGAAUCAUCCUGUCAGCUCGGCAUUGUCUGAAUAGCUGUUGGUGUGGUGGAGGAAGAAGUUGUUCUCUGCUUAAACAUCAUUGAGAGAUGUAUGCUUAUCUACCAGCUUCCAAGCUACAGUUUAAGUUGGAAGAACAUAGGCAAAAGACAAUACCACCUUUCAGCUGUAGUUGCAAGAGUUAUGAUUACUAAUCACCACCUAUCAAGAAGGCAGCUAAUUUUUGAUACUAUACAAUAAAAUAGGCUCUGCUUAUUUUUCUUCUUUUUUCUUAUUAUACUUUAAGUUCUGGGAUACACCUACAGAAUGUGCAGGUUUUUUACAUAGGUAUACACGUGCCAUGGUGGUUUGCUCCACCCAUCAACCCGUCAUCUAUGAGUUGAUUAGGUGUUUCUCCUAAUGCUAUCUCUCCCCUAGCCCCCCAACCGCUGACAGGCCCCAGUGUCUGAUGUUCCCCUCCCUGUGUUCAUGUGUUCUCAUUGUUUAACUCCAACUUAUGAGUGAGAACAUGCAAUGUUUGGUUUUCUAUUCCUGUGUUAGUUUGCUAAGAAUGAUGGUUUCCAGCUUCAUCCAUGUCCCUGCAAAGGACAUGAACUCAUCCUUUUUUAUUACUGCAUAGUAUUUCAUGGUGUAUAUGUGCCACAUUUUCUUUAUCCAGUCUUUUUUCAAGUGACAUUGACAUUGGUCUGUUUAAAUAAACUUAUAUUCCCAUUGAGUUGAUUCAAUUCUUAGAAACAGUAAGUCUACAUCUCACCUUGAAUAGAGUAAGAUGGGGUGGCAGAUCCUUCUGCUUGUUAGGGGGAAAUGAAUUCAGAAAGCAUAAUGAUAUGGUUAGACUUUGUGUCACCACCAAAAUCUCACCUUGAAUUGUAAUCUCCAUAAUCUCCACAAUCUCCACAUAUCAAGGGAGAUACCAGAAGGGGGUAAUCGAAUCAUGGAGGCAGUUUCCCCCAUGUUGCUCUUGUGACAGUGAGUGAGUUCUCAUGAAACCUAAUGGUUUUAUAAGAGGUUCUUCCCCCUUCACUCUGCACUUCUCCUUCCUGCCGCCUUUUGAAGCAGGUGCCUUGCUUCUCCUUUACCUUCCACCAUGAUUGUAAGUUUCCUGAGGCCUCCCUAGCCAUGUUGAACUGUGAAUCAAUUAAACCUGUUUCCUUUAUAAAUUACC
rnacentral:lncRNA from 1 species